rnacentral:rRNA from 1 species
GAUGAACGCUGGCGGCGUGCCUAAUACAUGCAAGUCGAGCGAACGGACGAGAAGCUUGCUUCUCUGAUGUUAGCGGCGGACGGGUGAGUAACACGUGGAUAACCUACCUAUAAGACUGGGAUAACUUCGGGAAACCGGAGCUAAUACCGGAUAAUAUUUUGAACCGCAUGGUUCAAAAGUGAAAGACGGUCUUGCUGUCACUUAUAGAUGGAUCCGCGCUGCAUUAGCUAGUUGGUAAGGUAACGGCUUACCAAGGCAACGAUGCAUAGCCGACCUGAGAGGGUGAUCGGCCACACUGGAACUGAGACACGAUCCAGACUCCUACGGGAGGCAGCAGUAGGGAAUCUUCCGCAAUGGGCGAAAGCCUGACGGAGCAACGCCGCGUGAGUGAUGAAGGUCUUCGGAUCGUAAAACUCUGUUAUUAGGGAAGAACAUAUGUGUAAGUAACUGUGCACAUCUUGACGGUACCUAAUCAGAAAGCCACGGCUAACUACGUG